UGCGUAGGUGGUGAGGUAAGUCGGGUGUGAAAUCUCCAAGCUCAACUUGGAAAUGGCAUUGGAAACUACCUCGCUGGAGGUUUGGAGGGGGGACUGGAAUUCUCGGUGUAGCAGUGAAAUGCGUAGAUAUCGAGAGGAACACCAGUGGCGAAGGCGAGUCCCUGGACAACACCUGACACUGAGGCACGAAAGCUAGGGGAGCAAACA
rnacentral:rRNA from 1 species